rnacentral:rRNA from 1 species
ACGGAGGGUGCAAGCGUUAUCCGGAAUCACUGGGUUUAAAGGGUGCGUAGGCGGUCUUGUUAGUCAGUCGUGAAAUCGCUGGGCUCAACCCAUGCAAUUGCGAUUGAUACUGCAGGACUUGAAUUAGGUUAAGGCAGGCGGAAUGUGACAUGUAGCGGUGAAAUGCAUAGAUAUGUCAUAGAACACCGAUUGCGAAGGCAGCCUGCUGGGCCUUGAUUGACGCUGAGGCACGAAAGCGUGGGGAGCAAACAGG